AGCAGCCGCGGUAAUUCCAGCUCCAAUAGCGUAUAUUAAAGUUGUUGCAGUUAAAAAGCUCGUAGUUGAAUUUCGGGGUUAGUAGGUUGGUCAUGCCUCUGGUAUGUACUGGUCUCACUGAUUCCUCCUUCCUGAUGAGCCGUAAUGCCAUUAAUUUGGUGUUGCGGGGAAUUUGGACUGUUACUUUGAAAAAUUAGAGUGUUUAAAGCAAGCUAACGCUUGAAUACAUUAGCAUGGAAUAAUGAAAUAGGACGUUCGAUCCUAUUUUGUUGGUUUCUAGGAUUGACGUAAUGAUUAAUAGGGAUAGUUGGGGGCAUUAGUAUUCAAUUGUCAGAGGUGAAAUUCUUGGAUUUAUUGAAGACUAACUACUGCGAAAGCAUUUGCCAAGGAUGUUUUCAUUAAUCAAGAACGAAAGUUAGGGGAUCGAAGACGAUCAGAUACCGUCGUAGUCUUAACCAUAAACUAUGCCGACUAGGGAUCGGAUGAUGUUAAUUUUUAAUGACUCA
rnacentral:rRNA from 1 species